GGGCGCUCUGCGUUUCCUGUACCGCUUCAUUUUAACUGAUCAUCAAAUUACAAUGUAAAUCCUAAUCGGAACAUUAUUUUCAAACGCAGAACAUAUSAUUCAUGUCAUAUCCAUCACCUGGAAUACCGGGCGGAAAUUAAUCAACGAAUACAUGGUUUGCGGUCUAAAUAUCAGGCGCUGUCACAUUGACAGCGGUAGGAUAUCCGGAAGACUUGAGGCAGGUUUGCACGAGCCAUUGCGGUGUUGACGUAAGAGCUAAAGCCUUUUCAACCGAUGUCUAAGGACCCUCCUCCAAGGUGACAUACAUCCAAUCACAGACUAGCAUGGGAGAAGAUGGACAAUCCAGCUGCCAAUCAGAGCUACGGAGAUGGCGGGCAGCCCGGGGUGUGUCAUAAUGGCUGGUCAGCAACCACACCCCCGACCGGUCUUGGAUGUUCCGCUGCCCAAGGACUCUCCAGUGACCCUCUACCCAGCUUACAGGGUCUGAACCUGGGCCCAGCCUCACACCAGAACCCCUCUAAUAACAUCCCUCAGUCCAUGGUUCAGUUACAGUACUCACACCUGGGCGGUGUCAGCAGUCUUCCUACGCCCCCAUUUAGGAACCAAUCACCUUCAGCUCUUAUACCAUGUCUGAAUGAAGAGCCUCACAUACCACAUGUACACCUGGGUCCUUAUAUCUCCUACAACAUCCCUCCACCAU